GCGGGUGUGGCGGAAUUGGCAGACGCGCUAGAUUCAGGUUCUAGUGUCCAUUACGGACGUGGAGGUUCAAAUCCUCUCACCCGCA
rnacentral:tRNA from 1 species